rnacentral:rRNA from 1 species
CCGAGAAUAUUCGACAAUGGGCGCAAGCCUGAUCGAGCGAUACCGCGUGGUGGAUGAAGCGCUUCGGCGCGUAAACACCUUUUAUGGAGGAGGAAGUUAUUGACGUUACUCCAUGAAUAAGGGGCUCCUAACUCUGUGCCAGCAGGAGCGGUAAUACAGAGGCCCCGAGCGUUACCCGGAAUUACUGGGCGUAAAGAGUGCGUAGGUGGUCGUGUUAGUCGUUUGUUAAAUCCCAGGGCUCAACCCCGGAGAUGCGGACGAAACGGCACGACUCGAGAGCGUGAGAGGUACAUGGAACUCAUGGUGUAGGGGUGAAAUCCGUUGAUAUCAUGGGGAACACCGAAAGCGAAGGCAAUGUACUGGCGCGUUUCUGACACUCAAGCACGAAAGCGUGGGUAGCGAACGGGAUUAGAUACCCCCGUAGUCC